UACGGGGGGGGCAAGCGUUGUUCGGAAUUACGGGGCGUAAAGGGCUCGUAGGUGGCCAACUAAGUCAGACGUGAAAUCCCUCGGCUUAACCGGGGAACUGCGUCUGAUACUGGAUGGCUAGAGAUUGGGGGAGGGAUGCGGAAUUCCAGGUGUAGCGGUGAAAUGCGUAGAUAUCGGGAGGAACACCAGUGGCGAAGGCGGUUGCCUGGAGCUUUGCUGACGCUGAGGCGCGAAAGCGUGGGGAGCGAUCCGG
rnacentral:rRNA from 1 species